GCUUGCACCGGGUGGAUGAGUGGCGAACGGGUGAGUAACACGUGAGUAACCUGCCCCUGACUUCGGGAUAAGCCCGGGAAACUGGGUCUAAUACCGGAUACGACUGCCGGACGCAUGUCUGGUGGUGGAAAGUUUUUUCGGUUGGGGAUGGGCUCGCGGCCUAUCAGUUUGUUGGUGAGGUAAUGGCUCACCAAGACGACGACGGGUAGCCGGCCUGAGAGGGCGACCGGCCACACUGGGACUGAGACACGGCCCAGACUCCUACGGGAGGCAGCAGUGGGGAAUAUUGCACAAUGGGGGAAACCCUGAUGCAGCGACGCAGCGUGCGGGAUGACGGCCUUCGGGUUGUAAACCGCUUUCAGCAGGGAAGAAGCGCAAGUGACGGUACCUGCAGAAGAAGUACCGGCUAACUACGUGCCAGCAGCCGCGGUAAUACGUAGGGUACGAGCGUUGUCCGGAAUUAUUGGGCGUAAAGAGCUCGUAGGUGGUUGGUCACGUCUGCUGUGGAAACGCAACGCUUAACGUUGCGCGUGCAGUGGGUACGGGCUGACUAGAGUGCAGUAGGGGAGUCUGGAAUUCCUGGUGUAGCGGUGAAAUGCGCAGAUAUCAGGAGGAACACCGGUGGCGAAGGCGGGACUCUGGGCUGUAACUGACACUGAGGAGCGAAAGCAUGGGGAGCGAACAGGAUUAGAUACCCUGGUAGUCCAUGCCGUAAACGUUGGGCACUAGGUGUGGGGGGCAUUCCACGUUCUCCGCGCCGUAGCUAACGCAUUAAGUGCCCCGCCUGGGGAGUACGGUCGCAAGGCUAAAACUCAAAGGAAUUGACGGGGGCCCGCACAAGCGGCGGAGCAUGCGGAUUAAUUCGAUGCAACGCGAAGAACCUUACCAAGGCUUGACAUACACCGGACCGUCCUGGAAACAGGUCCUCUUCUUUGAAGCUGGUGUACAGGUGGUGCAUGGUUGUCGUCAGCUCGUGUCGUGAGAUGUUGGGUUAAGUCCCGCAACGAGCGCAACCCUCGUUCUAUGUUGCCAGCACGUGAUGGUGGGAACUCAUAGGAGACUGCCGGGGUCAACUCGGAGGAAGGUGGGGAUGACGUCAAAUCAUCAUGCCCUUUAUGUCUUGGGCUUCACGCAUGCUACAAUGGCUGGUACAGAGAGAGGCGAACCCGUGAGGGCAAGCGAAUCCCUUAAAGCCAGUCUCAGUUCGGAUCGUAGUCUGCAAUUCGACUACGUGAAGUCGGAGUCGCUAGUAAUCGCAGAUCAGCAACGCUGCGGUGAAUACGUUCCCGGGCCUUGUACACACCGCCCGUCAAGUCACGAAAGUCGGUAACACCCGAAGCCGGUGGCCUAACCGUAAGGAGGGGG
rnacentral:rRNA from 1 species